UACGUAGGGGGCAAGCGUUGUCCGGAAUCAUUGGGCGUAAAGCGCGCGUAGGCGGCCUCGUAAGUCCGUUGUGAAAGUCAAAGGCUCAACCUUUGAAAGCCGAUGGAUACUGUGAGGCUAGAGUCCGGAAGAGGCGAGUGGAAUUCCUGGUGUAGCGGUGGAAUGCGCAGAUAUCAGGAGGAACACCAAUAGCGGAGGCAGCUCGCUGGGACGGUACUGACGCUAAGGCGCGAAAGCGUGGGGAGCGAACAGG
rnacentral:rRNA from 1 species